rnacentral:tRNA from 1 species
CAUUAAGAAGCUAUAGACAGCAACAGCCUUUUAAGCUGUAGAUAGGUGGUUCCGCUCACCCUUAAUGA